rnacentral:rRNA from 1 species
CUGGCGGCAGGCCUAACACAUGCAAGUCGAGCGCUUACCUUCGGGUAGGAGCGGCGGACGGGUUAGUAACGCGUGGGAAUAUACCCUUCACUACGGAAUAGCCUCGGGAAACUGAGAGUAAUACCGUAUACGCCCUUCGGGGGAAAGAUUUAUCGGUGAAGGAUUAGCCCGCGUAAGAUUAGAUAGUUGGUGGGGUAAUGGCCUACCAAGUCUACGAUCUUUAGCUGGUUUUAGAGGAUGAUCAGCAACACUGGGACUGAGACACGGCCCAGACUCCUACGGGAGGCAGCAGUGGGGAAUCUUGGACAAUGGGCGCAAGCCUGAUCCAGCCAUGCCGCGUGUGUGAUGAAGGCCUUAGGGUCGUAAAGCACUUUCGCCAGAGAUGAUAAUGACAGUAUCUGGUAAAGAAACCCCGGCUAACUCCGUGCCAGCAGCCGCGGUAAUACGGAGGGGGUUAGCGUUGUUCGGAAUUACUGGGCGUAAAGCGCACGUAGGCGGAUUAGUCAGUCAGAGGUGAAAUCCCAGGGCUCAACCCUGGAACUGCCUUUGAUACUGCUAGUCUUGAGUUCGAGAGAGGUGAGUGGAAUUCCGAGUGUAGAGGUGAAAUUCGUAGAUAUUCGGAGGAACACCAGUGGCGAAGGCGGCUCACUGGCUCGAUACUGACGCUGAGGUGCGAAAGUGUGGGGAGCAAACAGGAUUAGAUACCCUGGUAGUCCACACCGUAAACGAUGAAUGCAGUCGUCGGGCAGUAUACUGUUCGGUGACACACCUAACGGAUUAAGCAUUCCGCCUG